GGGACACGUGGUAUCCUGUCUGAAUAUGGGGGGACCAUCCUCCAAGGCUAAAUACUCCUGACUGACCGAUAGUGAACCAGUACCGUGAGGGAAAGGCGAAAAGAACCCCGGCGAGGGGAGUGAAAAAGAACCUGAAACCGUGUACGUACAAGCAGUGGGAGCCUCUUUUAUGGGGUGACUGCGUACCUUUUGUAUAAUGGGUCAGCGACUUAUAUUCUGUAGCAAGGUUAACCGAAUAGGGGAGCCGAAGGGAAACCGAGUCUUAACUGGGCGUUAAGUUGCAGGGUAUAGACCCGAAACCCGGUGAUCUAGCCAUGGGCAGGUUGAAGGUUGGGUAACACUAACUGGAGGACCGAACCGACUAAUGUUGAAAAAUUAGCGGAUGACUUGUGGCUGGGGGUGAAAGGCCAAUCAAACCGGGAGAUAGCUGGUUCUCCCCGAAA
rnacentral:rRNA from 1 species